rnacentral:rRNA from 1 species
GACGAACCGUACAAACGUUAUUCGGAAUUACUGGGCUUAAAGGGUGCGUAGGCGGCGGUGCAAGUUGGGUGUGAAAUCCCUCGGCUCAACCGAGGAACUGCGCUCAAAACUAGCAUUGUCUUGUAGGGGAGGAUAGAGGUGAGUGGAACUUAGGGUGGAGCGGUGAAAUGCGUUGAUAUCCUAAGGAACACCAGUGGCGAAAGCG